rnacentral:piRNA from 1 species
UUGUGCCAAACUGUAAAUGCAAAUCUAGU